UAUGAGUAAAUCAAAAGUGGAGAAGAGAAGAUCUGGAAAAUGCAAAUCGAUUUAGAUUCACAAAAUUUAUUAACUUUUUGGAGUUUUUCUACUCCCAAGAAUAUGCAGUAUAUUAUGUCCAAGAAACAUCAGUUGUGGCAGGGAAUGGGGGCAUCAAAGGGAGAAAAGUAGUUGUAUCCAAAUAAAAGUUCUUUGCAAAUGCUGAAGAAAACCAGAGAUGAUGUUGCAUGGCAGAAUUCAUCUGUUCCAGCAAGUGUAUAUGCUGUAGAUGGAGCAGCAGCUGAAUUGCUGUAGAAAUUAAUUUGCCCCACACAGAAUAAGUUGAAUAAUUUACUAGAAUAAACAUGCAGGGCUAUGAUAGGAAACCAUCUAUUCAGUGUAUCUGUAAGGGGAAAAAAUGAAAGUAAUCUUGUAACUUGCUCUUUGUAAGCAGAGAGAGAAGACCAAGAUUUCCUGGGCUCUGUGUGUGAUAGGGUGGAGAAGCAGGGCAAAGAGCCCCUCUGUGUGCUACCAUCUUGAUGAGCAAAUAGGGAUACCUGGAAGAACAGACCCAACAAUACUUGCACAUUGAAAGCACAAAGGAGAAGUCUUUAUGGUUGGCCCUCAUAUUGGUGCAUGUUCCUUUUCCCUGGAGGAAGGAAAAAUCAUUAGAAAUCUGUUCCUGGAGCAGUGCAGCUGUGUACCAUGCCAGACACGGGAUGUGUGACAGUUGCAUCUGGUUUCUGUGUGAUGGUUACAAAGCCUGUAUGGUUGCUGUCAAUCAUACGGAGUAAAGUGAUGGGAUGCCCCAGGUCUCCAGCAGCUGAAACCUGACAGAGGGGUGUGAACUCCUUGGCUCUUCCUGUUCAGUGGGACGUAGCUAUGAUGUUGAUCAGAGGGUGAAGUAGAUAGAACAGGUCACUUCCAGUCUUCACCCAGGGCAGUGUCAAUGAAGACCUUUUCUUGAAUUCAAGUAGACUUUAUCACAAUGAUCUCUCAUGCCUGCAUGCUCAGUGACUUUUUUUCAAAGAACUCGAACGUAUCUGAGAGGCACAAUUUCCUUCUACAAAAGCUGUGUUGAUCUUUCUGUAAAAAGAGAGGUCGUUAGAUUGUUGCCAGGAAGGGGCAUUCAAAAGCUGCAAAUUCAAUGGUGAUUAAAAAAUAAGAUUUAUCAAAACCCAGUUGUGAAAUAGAAUUUUUGUCUUUGGUUACAGAGCUGUGGCUUUAUUAAACACACCAAAUAUUGGGUGAUUUCAGACACUGACUGCAAAAUGGUUUGUUUUGUGAUUUAGCGGCAAACAUGUUUUGUAUGCAGACCUUAUUUGAAUGCCAAGUCUGAAAUUCUAGCACCAAGCUGUUUUUCUAGUUGUUUAUCCUUCCGGCAGAAGUAGUGGCCACAUUAGUUUACACUUUCAUAAUUACCAUGUGUGAGAGAGGAUUUUUGCCAUAUAUAUGUAUAUAGUUACUCCCCUCAAUUUGUAUCCACGAAGAGCUACGUGGGAUUACCUGUAAAAUCUGUGUCUGUUCAGCAGCUGUUAGAUAAGUAGCACUGUGUUUUUUCCAUGUUGUCUUUAAGUUAUUCUUGCUUUGGGGGAACUGCUGUGAGAAAUAGUCAUUUUUGAAUCCUUGGAUUUUCUUUUUCAGAAG